rnacentral:rRNA from 1 species
UACGGAAGGGGCUAGCGUUGUUCGGAAUUACUGGGCGUAAAGAGAGCCUAGGCGGCUUACCAAGUUGGGGGUGAAAUCCCGGAGCUCAACUCCGGAACUGCCUUCAAAACUGGUAGGCUCGAGUCCGGAAGAGGGGCGUGGAAUUCCCAGUGUAGAGGUGAAAUUCGUAGAUAUUGGGAAGAACACCGGUGGCGCAGGCGGCGCCCUGGUCCGGUACUGACGCUGAGGCGCGAAAGCGUGGGGAGCAAACAGG